rnacentral:rRNA from 1 species
UUAUGGCUCAGGACGAACGCUGGCGGCGUGCCUAAUACGUGCAAGUCGAACGGUCUUUUCUAUGGAAGCUUGCUUCCACUGAGAAGAUAGUGGCGAACGGGUGAGUAACACGUGGGUAACCUGCCCAUAAGAGGGGGAUAACAUCCGGAAACGGGUGCUAAUACCGCAUAGUUUUCUUGAUCGCAUGAUUGAGAAAGGAAAGACGGCCUUUGUGCUGUCGCUUAUGGAUGGACCCGCGGCGUAUUAGUUAGUUGGUGAGGUAACGGCUCACCAAGACGAUGAUACGUAGCCGACCUGAGAGGGUGAUCGGCCACAUUGGGACUGAGACACGGCCCAAACUCCUACGGGAGGCAGCAGUAGGGAAUCUUCCGCAAUGGACGAAAGUCUGACGGAGCAACGCCGCGUGAGUGAAGAAAGGUUUUCGGAUCGUAAAACUCUGUUGUCAGAGAAGAACAAGUUGGAGAGUAACUGCUCCAGCCUUGACGGUAUCUGACCAGAAAGCCACGGCUAACUACGUGCCAGCAGCCGC